rnacentral:sRNA from 1 species
CUUGGUCAUUUAGAGGAAGUAAAAGUCGUAACAAGGUUUCCGUAGGUGAACCUGCGGAAGGAUCAUUCAUAAUAAGUGUUUUAUGGCACUUUUUAAAUCCAUAUCCACCUUGUGUGCAAUGUCAGUCGAUCUUCUUCAUGGAGAUCGACCAAACAUCAACCUUUAUUUUUUAACUCUUUGUCUGAAAAAUAUUAUGAAUAAACAAUUCAAAAUACAACUUUCAACAACGGAUCUCUUGGCUCUCGCAUCGAUGAAGAACGCAGCGAAAUGCGAUACGUAAUGUGAAUUGCAGAAUUCAGUGAAUCAUCGAAUCUUUGAACGCAUAUUGCGCUCUUUGGUAUUCCGAAGAGCAUGCUUGUUUGAGUAUCAGUAAACACCUCAAAGCUUUUGGAUUUUUUAAUCGAAAAGCUUUGGACUUGAGCAAUCCCAACACCAAUCUUUUUGAGAUCGGUGGCGGGUUGCUUGAAAUGCAGGUGCAGCUGGACAUUCUCCUGAGCUAAAAGCAUAUUCAUUUAGUCCCGUCAAACGGAUUAUUACUUUUGCUGCAGCUAACAUAAAGGGAGUUUGACCGUAUUGGCUGACUGAUGCAGGAUUUCACAAGGGUCGGCAACGAUUCUUGUUAAACUCGAUCUCAAAUCAAGUAAGACUACCCGCUGAACUUAAGCAUAUCAAUAAGCGGAGGAAAAGAAACUAACAAGGAUUCCCCUAGUAACGGCGAGUGAAGCGGGAUGAGCUCAAAUUUAAAAUCUGGCUGGUUUACUAGUCCGAAUUGUAGUUUAUAGAAGCGUUUUCGGUGGCAGCCUGGGUAUAAAUCCUUUGGAAUAGGGUAUCAUAGAGGGUGAGAAUCCCGUCUUUGACUCAGUGCAUGCUACUAUGUGAUACGUUUUCAAGAGUCGAGUUGUUUGGGAAU